AACGAACGCUGGCGGCAGGCCUAAUACAUGCAAGUCGAACGAUCCUUCGGGAUAGUGGCGCACGGGUGAGUAACACGUGGGAACAUACCCUUGGGUGCGGAACAACGUCGGGAAACUGACGCUAAUACCGCAUAAUGACUCCGGUCCAAAGAUUUAUCGCCCAAGGAUUGGCCCGCGCUAGAUUAGGUUGUUGGUGAGGUAACGGCUCACCAAGCCUACGAUCUAUAGCUGGUCUGAGAGGAUGAUCAGCCACACUGGGACUGAGACACGGCCCAGACUCCUACGGGAGGCAGCAGUAAGGAAUAUUGGACAAUGGGGGCAACCCUGAUCCAGCCAUGCCGCGUGAGUGAAGAAGGCCUUAGGGUUGUAAAGCUCUUUCAGGUGCGAAGAUAAUGACUGUAACACCAGAAGAAGCCCCGGNUAAAUUCGUGCCAGCAGCCGCGGUAAAGUACAGUGU
rnacentral:rRNA from 1 species